rnacentral:misc_RNA from 1 species
GAAAUGCGAUACGUAAUGCGAAUUGCAGAACUCAGUGAAUCAUCAAAUCUUUGAACGCAGUUGGCGCUCUCGGGAUAGGCCUGAGAGCAUGCCUCUUUGAGUAUCGGUUCUACCAUCACUCAGCCUCGUGCUGGAAAUUGAGUCGUUUCUUGUCGAUUGAGUUCGACGAGAGCCACUUGAAGACGCUAGGUGUGCAGACGGCAGAGAUGCUGUCUGCUGCACUUCCUAAAUGCCCGCAAACCGACGCUUCUGGUGUUCCAGACUCAGUUUGUGGAUAUGAUGUAUCAACAUUCAUAUCUACCCCAAAGCAGACUGCGGUCGAGCCAGAGGCGUGUCUGGAUGUUUGCAACACUCAAACCAUUAGAUCUCAAAUGAGGUAAGAGGACCCGCCGAAUUUAA